rnacentral:tRNA from 1 species
UGCAUCUGCCAGGAAUCGAACCCGGGCCGCCCGCGUGGCAGGCGAGCAUUCUACCACUGAACCACC